rnacentral:lncRNA from 1 species
UUUUCAUUGACUGCCUUCCACUUGUCCAAAUGGGAUGAAAUUUGACAUGCUUACCAUGCUAUGUGUUAGUUUUGAUCAUGAUUUAUUUGUUGAUUUUUGGAAAAUGUUUAGAUUGCUUUUGAGUUAAGUCUUGCUGUUGACUUCUAUGAGCUUCUGUUUGCCAUGUUUUGACCUAAAUGGUUCAUGAAAUGAUGAUGAUGAUUGAUAUG